rnacentral:lncRNA from 1 species
AUUUCAAGUUGUUGGUGUGCUGGUGCUCCAAUUAUCGCAAUUGCGAGCACCAACAUCGCAAUUGCGAUCAUGGCAUAGGGGUAUCUGGUAUCGCAUUUGCGUCACCAUGAUCACGUUUGCAAAAGCCAACUUGGGCUGGGUAAGAUCGCAUUUGCGGAAGGGGCUAACUUCGCAUUUGCGAGGUCUGUGUCCCAAUUGCGAUAUUCCCCUAGGCUGUCAGGCGCCUCAAUUGUGAGUCGUUGUCCGCAUUUGCCAGUGUUCGCAAUUGCGAACCCAGAGUCGCAAUUAUAGUUUACACUUAAUUUGACCCUCCAUAUGUAAAAUUAACUUUCGCAGGCUUCCUGGUCAUUAAAUAGUAAAAUAUAACAUUUUUGCACAUUUUUAACUUUAAUGCAAUUUAUGAUAAUAAUUUCCUUUUGAAUUUCAUGCUUUUUUAUGUCCGAUUCAUGGUAUCAGAUUUAUUUUUGUAUUUUGAAGCGAGCAAGUUCUUAUGAUAUUUUUAGAUUUGUGUGGAUGUUUGGUUGGAGGCCCGAGGACUCGGGUGAGUUUCUGACAUAUUUCGGAAUUGUUUGAAUUCAUUUCAAGUUGUUGGUGUGCUUGUGCUCCAGUUAUCGCAAUUGCGAGCACCAACAUCGCAUUUGCGAUCAUGGCAGAGGGGUUUCUGGUAUCGCAUUUGCGUCACCAUGAUCACGUUUGCGAAAGCAAACUUGGGCUGGGUAAGGUCGCAUUUGCGAAAGGGGCUAACUUCGCAUUUGCGAGGUCUAUGCCGCAAUUGCGACAUUUCCCUAGGCUGUCAGGCGCCUCAAUUGUGAGUGGUUGUCCGCAUUUGCUAGUGUUCGCAAUUGCAAACCCAGAGUCGCAAUUAUUGUUGACACUUAAUUUGACCCUCCAUAUGUAAAAUUAACUUUCGCAGGCUUCCUAGUCAUUAAAUAGUAAAAUAUAACAUUUUUGCACAUUUUUAACUUUAAUGCAAUUUAUGAAAAUAAUUUCCUUUUGAAUUUCAUGCUUUUUGAUGUCCGAUUCGUGGUUUCAGAUUUAUUUUGGAAUUUUGAUGCGAGCAUGUUCGUAUGAUAUUUUUAGAUUUGUGUGGAUGUUUGGUAUGGAGGCCCGAGGACUCGGGUGAGUUUCUAACAUUUUCGGAAUUGUUUGAAUUCAUUUCAAGUUGUUGGUGUGCUUGUUCUCCAGUCAUCGCAAUUGCGGGCACCAACAUCGCAUUUGCGAUCAUGGCAGAGGGGUAUCUGGUAUCGUAUUUGCGUCACCAUGAUCAUGUUUGCGAAAGCAAACGUGGGCUGGGUAAGGUCGCAUUUGCGAAAGGGGCUAACUUCACAUUUGCGAGGUCUGUGUCGCAAUUGCGACAUUUCUCUAGGCUGUCAGGCGCCUCAAUUGUGAGUGGUUGUCCGCAUUUGCUAGUAUUCGCAAUUGCAAACCCAGAGUCGCAAUUAUUGUUGACACUUAAUUUGACCCUCCAUAUGUAAAAUUAACUUUCGCAGGCUUCCUGGUCAUUAAAUAGUAAAAUAUAACAUUUUUGCACAUUUUUAACUUUAAUGCAAUUUAUGAAAAUAAUUUCCUUUUGAAUUUCAUGCUUUUUGAUGUCCGAUUCAUGAUUUCAGAUUUAUUUUGGUAUUUUGAUGCGAGCAAGUUCGUAUG